UCAAUUUGCACUAUGGGUGAAUUGUUAUUCUUUCCCACUGUUGAUGGAACAUUUUGUUGCAACUGGCCGUUUCCAGUCAACCCUGACCCCGAUCGUUCGCCAGCGGAACGGAUUCCCCUAGCAUUCAUCAAAAGUCAAGAAAAUUCGCUACACCGCUAAGCAUCCGAUAGAACGGCUUAUGAAAAAUUCAAGAAGAACCAAUUAGACAGAUUGAUCAUUAAUUUUGGCUGCCCUUUCUUGCGAGGAUUCAACCAACACCGAACUCGAUCGUUUGCCAGUGCGACACAUUUUAGCAGAAUUCAAGAAAAAUGGAAUCUUCUAUUCUUCCGCUGUACAGCAGACGGAACUUCCGAUAUAGGAUCCCAGGAGGAACGAAUCUUGCAAGCCAAACAACCUGAUUGUCCAGAAUUGUACAGAAAUGCUGGUGUAUAUUCCACAAGCUCAUAAUGUUCAAUCCAGUUACAUAUAUAUCCAACAUAUUUGAACAACUUUGAAAAAUUCACAUUUUUUGCAACUUUGACCACUGUAAACA